rnacentral:rRNA from 1 species
UACGUAGGGGGCUAGCGUUGUCCGGAUUUAUUGGGCGUAAAGAGCGUGUAGGCGGCCAGGUAGGUCUGCUGUGAAAUCGCCCGGCUCAACUGGGCGGGGUCGGCGGAUACGGCCGAGCUGGAGCAAGCUAGGGGGUAAUGGAAUUCCCGGUGUAGUGGUGGAAUGCGUAGAUAUCUGGAGGAAUACCGGUGGCGAAGGCGGCAUCCUGGACCGGCAUUGACGCUGAUGAGCGAAAGCUAGGGGAGCAAACGGG